CAAAGGCUGGGAGAAACCUAGGUGAAACCUCAAAUAGGAGUAAUCUUGAGGAAUAUGAAAAUCUAAUUCUGUGUAAUAACAUGUCAAGAUAUUUUUUUUUUUUCACAAGUUACCUCAUUACUCUCAGGAGAAAAGCACUCACUCAACUUUGGGUAACUACUGCUGUUAAUCCUGAACUUUUUAAAACCUUGUUAGGAUGUUUGGCACUGACAGUUCUAAUGGGCAGGUGACCACAGCAACAAGCCCCCACUUUCUCCAAACACCUCAAGACUGCCCAGACUCAGCAAUGCUCUGCUUGACAGGUUUCUGGGGCCCACUCUGUGCCAUCACUCAACAAGAACACUUGAUGUAAUUUCUUUCAAUAUUUAUUUCCAGAUUUCAGAGGCAACAGAAGUACCUUCUGUUGAAGGUACCUUCAGCAGAUAUUUAUCUGGCAGGUAGAGAUGUGGAAGGGAAUGGGGAUGGGACACUCAUUUGCUUGCUUUUUUCAGAGGGAAACUCAAAUAUCAAAACAAGAAAAGUUGAACAUAAAAGCAUUGAGAGGUUAAAAAAUGUUUUUGACUGAUUUUGGCUUUGACAUUCAUUUAUUUUAAAACAUUUAGAAAUUUCCUACUUUGAAAUAUAGAAAAUGAACAUAUCAAAAGAAAAGAACAAACAUUCCUUUAUGCAAUGGUAUUUUUAAAAAUAAUUGCUCUAUUUGGGGUAUAAGCUAAACUUUUCCAGGAUUUGAAGGAAUCCUAAUUGAAUCAUUUAUCUAUUAUAGUAUUUUAGGUAUAUACAACUGUGUCUGGAGGGCGUUUUAGACCUUGGAGGGCAUAUCUGGUAGACUGGUGGUACCUAGGGGAGGGUACUGGAGCAGGAUAGCAAAGAAAUGGCAGGUGUCACAUAAGAACCACCUGACACGUGACCAGACUCACUAAAGGACACCUAGAAGAUAACCCCUUAUCCUCCGUAUUGUAGACUUAGUAGCUUUGUGCUUCAAUAACUAGGAACUUAAAUCAUUUUUCUCAAGACUCAAGGUUUUCAGAAUUGAAAAGGCAACCAGAAUAAUAAGUAGCAUGAGAGCAUCUUGGUGGUCAGGAAGUACAAGGUCAUAGCCGGUGUACAGGAAAGCCUCUGGAGACACCUAGACUCCCAUACCUAGGAAACCAGCUGUAAGUUGUAAGUUAGAUGAUCCUGGCUCCCAGAUUUCCAAAACUCACAUCACUGAGACACUUUGAAAGAUAAAAUCUUAUCCUCAUAGUCAUCAAAAUGCCAUUCUUUACAAGAUUUCUGAAAAAGAGGCGGCCAUCCCUAGUGUCUGAGUGUCCUCUACCAUGCUUUUUUAUGGCCUUUUGUUACCAGGGCCUAAGAUGUCAGAUACUUUUAUUCUAUAGCAAAGCAAGAUUCUUGUGACAUUCUUUGUAUACUUAGUAUUUGCACAGUCCAAGGCAGAAACCCAUGUCCUUAAUGCUGGUUUAAUUUGUUGCAGCUUUCUGGUGAGAAUAAGAGUCUUUGAAUUUUCUGUCACAGUUACCCAUUCCUGUACUUACCCAAUUGUUUAUUUUACUUCAGUAAACCUUUCUUGAGUGUGUAAUACAUGCCAAAAACUAUAGUAAAACAUACAUCAAUAGAUUGGCCUUUGUCAAGUGCCCAGCUUUGAGGAGUUUGGGUUUUGUGUGAAGGUAAAUAAAUGUACAACUGAACAUGAUGGAGAAUAACGUGAGAAAAAGAGUAUAUGUGUGUGUGUGUGUAUGACUGGGUCACUUUUCUAUACAACAGAAAUUGACAGAACACUCUAAACCAACUAAAAUGGAAAAAAAUAAAAAUCAUUAAAAUUUUUUUUUAUUUUUUUAAAAAGUAAAUUAUACAACUGAGAAUGUGACAUGUAGGCGUACACAGAUGAUGGGAGUAGCUAACACUUCCUGGAAGACAUGAAGGGAGAUUUCAGGGAGAGUGACACUGGAGUUGGGUUUAAAGAAUGAAUAGGUUGGUGGGAAUGUAAGUUAGUGCAGCCACUAUGGAAAACGGUAUAGAGGUUCCUCACAAAACUAAAAACAUAAUUACUAUAUUAUUCAGCAGUCCCACUCUUGGGCAUAUAUCCAGAGAAAACUGGUAUUAGAAAAGAUACAUACACCUUUAUGUCCAUUGCAGCACUAUUUACAAUAACUAAGACAUAGAAAUAAGCUAUUGUUCUAUCCACAGAUGAAUGGAUUUAAAAAAUGUGGUACAUAUAUACAAUGGACUAUUACUCAGCCAUAAAAGAGCAUGAAAUAACGCCCUUUGCAGCAAUGUGGAUAGACCUAGAGAUUAUCAUACUAAGUGAAAUAAGUCAGACAGACAAAGACAGAUAUCGCAUGAUACUGUUUUUUUGUUGUUUUUUCUUUGUUUUUGUUUUUGUCUUUUUGCCAUUUCUUGGGCUGUUCCCUCAGCAUAUGGAGGUUCCCAGGCUAGGGGUCCAAUGGGAGCUAUAGCUGCCAGCCUACACCAGAGCCACAGCAAUGCGGGAUCCAAGCCACAUCUGCAACCUACACCACAGUUCACGGCAACGCCAGAUCCUUAACCCACUGAGCGAGGCCAGGGAUCGAACCCCACAACCUCAUGGUUCCUAGUCGGAUUCGUUAACCACUGCGCCACGACAGGAACUCCACGCAUAAUAUUGUUUAUAAGUGGAAUCUAAAAAAAUGAUACAAAUCAACUUAUCUACAAAACAGAAAUCGUCUCACAGACAUAGCAAAAAAUCUUAUGGUUACCAAAGGGGAAGAGAUUGGGAAGAAGUAAAUUAGGAGUCUGCAAUUAACAUAUACACGCCACUAUAUAUAAACUAAAUAACCAACAAGGACCUACUAUAUAGCACAGGGAACUACACUGAAUAUUUUGUAAUAGCCUAUAAGGGAAAAUAAUUUUAAAAAGAAUAUGUGUGUGUGUGAGAGAGAGAGAGAAAGACUGAAUCACUGUACUGUACAUCUAAAACUAACAUAACAUUGUAAAUCAACUCUACUUCAAUUUAAGAAAAGAAAAUGAAUAAAGAAUUAAUAGGCAUUCUCUGGUGCAAAGUGGGAGAAGAGCUUGUCAAUAUGUUAGCACAGCAGGGGCAAAGACUUGAAGGCAGAAAAGAGUAUUUUUUUCUUGUAUCUUUGGUGCCUAACUCUUACUUCAAGGCAACAUUUAUCACCUCUAUAAGACAGUCAUAUUAGUUCAGAGUAAGGGGUGCCAGCAUUUUCUAGGGAAAACUAUCUCAUUGUCACUAUCGAACAAGACCCAGCCGGAGAUUUAUCUAUAGAAGUGAACGCCAGCUCAAUGGCCCAACUGUGAAACUAGUUUCUCUUCCCACUAUAUAUAAGAUACUUGAAUUUAAUUUUAUAAAGGAAACAAUCCCUUAACUCUUAAAAGAGAGGGUUGAAUAGAUAAGUGUCAAGCUACGAUUAAUUAUGAAAUGAAUCAAAUGUAAGAAGGUGUGGAAGUUUAAAACACAGAUGUCUAUUUUAAUUCAAGCAUCAAGAAUAGCUCUACAAUACUUUUCUCACUUAUGUAUAUUCUUAUAUUCAUUCAUGCCUGGAAGAAACAGGAGUGGACAUUUAACUAUUGGAUGGGGCAUGUGUAUUCAAAGAACUGUAUCUUCCACCAGGUGAUCUCAAUAGAAAGGCCUCAGAAUUGCUGACCCAUCUCUUACUCUCUGCUCUUCCUUAAAUUUAUGGAGGACUUUGGCACAUUGUCCAGGGACACUUUAGCAGCUCUUAAUUCUUAUAAGUGAUUUUAAGCCCGUUGGGAGAAACUGAUUAUUUCUAUUCAGGAAAUUAGAAGAGAAUAAUAGAACAUGCAAGGGUCUUGCUCUGAGUUAAACACACAUGAUUUAUUUUAAAAAUCACAUUAAGCACCACACUUUGUAACUCAAUGUCAGGGCAGGCUGACUAAUUUUUUUUUUUUGAAAAUUGUCACUAUGAAAAAUGCUGGAAGCCAUUUAUAUAAAUGGAGCUAGGCAUGAAAAUUUUUAUAACACCCCUGAUUCCAAUACCGUUUAUAAAAAUAUCAUCUCUUACCAUUUGUGUAGGUUCAAUAAUUUAACAAUAUCAAUAAUCAAUUUUUCACCGACCUAAUCAUUUUCAAGCUUCACUAAGUGUCAUGC
rnacentral:lncRNA from 1 species